rnacentral:tRNA from 1 species
AAUAAGAUGCCUGAAAAAAGGUCUACUUUGAUAGAGUAGCUUAUGUGAGUUUUCACUCUUAUUA